rnacentral:rRNA from 1 species
GAUGAACGCUGGCGGCAUGCCUAAUACAUGCAAGUCGAGCGAAGCGGGGACGGGUGAGUAACACGUGGCUACCCUCCUAGAAGGCUAAGAUAACUUCGGGAGACCUGAGCUCAACCGGAUACUUAUAGAGAGAUCCGUGCUGCCGUAGCAAUGUGGUAAGGUAACGGCUUACCAAGGCAACGAUGCAUAGCCGACCUGAGAGGGUGAUCGGUCACACUGGAACUGAGACACGGUCCAGACUCCUACGGGAGGCAGCAGUAGGGAAUCUUCCGCAAUGGGCGAAAGCCUGACGGAGCCACGCCGCGUGAGUGAUGAAGGUCUUCGGAUUGUAAAACUCUUUUAGUUGGGAAGCGGUACCUACUCAGUAAGCCACGGCUAACUACGUGCCAGCAGCCGCGGUAAUUC